rnacentral:rRNA from 1 species
GUAGUCUGCAACCCGACUACAUGAAGCUGGAAUCGCUAGUAAUCGCGGAUCAGAAUGCCGCGGUGAAUACGUUCCCGGGUCUUGUACACACCGCCCGUCACACCAUGGGAGCCGGUAACGCCCGAAGUCAGUGACCCAACCGAGAGGAGGGAGCUGCCGAAGGCGGGACAGGUAACUGGGGUGAAGUCGUAACAAGGUAAC